rnacentral:rRNA from 1 species
AGCUCCAAUAGCGUAUAUUAAAUUUGUUGCGGUUAAAAAGCUCGUAGUUGGAUUUCUGUUGAGGACGACCGUUCCGCCCUCUGGGUGAGUAUCUGGCUCGGCCUUGGCAUCUUUUUGGAGAACGUUGCUGCACUCGAUUGUGUGGUGCGGUAUCCAGGACUUUUAGUUUGAGGAAAUUCGAGUGUUUCAAGCAGGCGUACGCCUUGAAUACAUUAGCAUGGAAUAAUAAGAUAGGACCUUGGUUCUUUUUUGUUGGUUUCUAGAGCUGAGGUAAUGAUUAAUAGGGAUAGUUGGGGGCAUUCGUAUUUAACUGUUAGAGGUGAAAUUCUUGGAUUUGUUAAAGACGUACUACUGCGAAAGCAUUUACCAAGGAUGUUUUCA